GACAGGAUGGCCGAGUGGUUAAGGCGGUAGUUUCGAAUCUUUCAAUGGUUAUCAUUGUCACGCUCGAUCAGCUACUUCACUCUGUGAGCGUGAGUUCAAAUCUCACUUCUGUCG
rnacentral:tRNA from 1 species